AAGUCGUAACAAGGUCUCCGUUGGUGAACCAGCGGAGGGAUCAUUACAGAGUUGCAAAACUCCCAACCCUUUGUGAACGUACCUACCAGUUGCUUCGGCGGAAGACCCUCUCGGGGGCGGCCCGCCGGAGGCAUUCAAACAUCUGUAUUUUUGGCAUCUCUGAGUUAACUAUAAAAUAAGUUAAAACUUUCAACAACGGAUCUCUUGGUUCUG
rnacentral:misc_RNA from 1 species